AUUGAACGCUGGCGGCAGGCCUAACACAUGCAAGUCGAGCGAGCGGCGGACGGGUGAGUAAUGUAUGGAGAUCUGCCCGAUAGAGGGGGAUCAAUACUGGAAAGGGUGGCUAAUCCCGCAUACUAUCGGAUGAACCCAUAUGGGAUUCGAUAGGAGGUGGGGAAAAGGCUCACCAAGGCGACGAUCUCUAGCUGGUCCGAGAGGAUGAACAGCCACACUGGGACUGAGACACGGCCCAGACUCCUACGGUAGGCAGCAGUGGGGAAUAUUGCACAAUGGGCGCAAGCCUGAUGCAGCCAUGCCGCGUGUGUGAAGAAGGCCUUAGGGUUGUAAAGUACUUUCAGCGGGGAGGCGUUACCCGCAGAAGAAGCACCGGCUAACUCCGUGCCAGCCGCCGCGGUAAUUC
rnacentral:rRNA from 1 species